GUAAUGUGUCAAAUACAUUUGACAAAAAUAGAUGGGCGAAAUGGAAUGAAUGGAGAAGCCGUAACGAUGGUACGCAAGAAGAGGUGGAGCAACAAUCCCAUGCCCAACAUCGUAUGCCUAGGCCACAAUAUAACAUUGGCUUGCGUGGAAGGGAGUACAUCAUCGCAAUCUUAAAUGGACAUCUUGAUAACUAUUACGAGAUGUUUCAAAUUGAGGUAUAUGCAUUUUGGGCCUUAUGCGAUCGGUUAUGCAAAGAUGUGGCCUCAUGUGAUUCGAUUCGGGAGGUCACGGUUGAGAAAGCCUUAGGAAUAUUUUGCUACACCGUUGGACAUGGUGUGGUUCAAUGAAAUUUAGCUAAUCUAUUUCAACAUUCGGUUGAAACCGUGGAUCAACAUAUGUAUGCAAUAAUGCAUGCAGUAUGUCGCCUUGCAUGCUAUGUGAUUAAACCAAGUCAGAUGAUCGGGGUGAUGCCUUAUAUUGAAGGAAAUCUCAAAUAUUAUCCAUCAUUUGAGAAAUGUCAUGGUGCAAUGGAUGGGGUCAUGAUCAAUGCAGCUAUGCCAAGUUCUGUAACUAACACAUAUUUAAAUCGGUAUCAUCAACUUACCCAGAAUGUCUUGUUUCUAUGAUUUCAAUAUGAAAUUUACAUUUGUAUACGACAAGUGGGAGGGUACAACCCAUGAUACUCGCGUUUUAAUCGAUGUGUUAAGGCGUCCAAAGAACAAUUUUCCAUGGCCUGAAGAUGGUUAUUAUUAUUUGGUAGAUUCUGCAUUCCCUUACACGGAGGGAUAUAUGCUACCGUAUCCAAAGAAUUUCAUUGAAGGAACUUUCAGUGUGUUGAAGAGGCGUUUCUGACUUUAAAAAAACAUGCCCAAAUAUUGUCCAACUCGACAACGUUAUCUUAUUAUUGCAUAUUGUAUGAUAGAUAACUUCAUCCGGACCGUUACGCCUAAUGAUCAAACAUUUCUAGCAUUUAGCAAUCUCGAUAAUUAUCCAGAAAUGAGUGCAGAUCAGGACACCAAUGAAUAAUCUCAUGUUCCUGACAUGUCGACUGCAUCGGCACAGGCAAUGGCUGCAACUAGAGAUGUUAUUGCACUACCUAUGUGGGUGGAUACUACUAGGCAACAAGGGAACACUUAAUUGCCAGCAUGGUGUUGUAAUCGUUUUUUAUUAUUUCUGUUGAAAAA